rnacentral:rRNA from 1 species
GUCGAACGGUAAGGCCCUUCGGGGUACACGAGUGGCGAACGGGUGAGUAACACGUGGGUGAUCUGCCCUGCACUUCGGGAUAAGCCCGGGAAACUGGGUCUAAUACCGGAUAGGACUGCGCGGUGCAUGCCGUGUGGUGGAAAGAUUUAUCGGUGCAGGAUGGGCCCGCGGCCUAUCAGCUUGUUGGUGGGGUAAUGGCCUACCAAGGCGACGACGGGUAGCCGGCCUGAGAGGGCGACCGGCCACACUGGGACUGAGACACGGCCCAGACUCCUACGGGAGGCAGCAGUGGGGAAUAUUGCACAAUGGGCGCAAGCCUGAUGCAGCGACGCCGCGUGAGGGAUGACGGCCUUCGGGUUGUAAACCUCUUUCAGCUGGGUCGAAGCGUGA